CUUAAAGCCAUACAGACAAAACAGAAAAUAGCAUACCUCAAUACAGAAAAGGGACACAAAGUGACGGCACCCAAAGACAUAAGCAACGUCUUCGCCAAAUACUAUAACUCACUGUACAACUUAGCAAACGACCCACACACGCACCAACCACAACCACAAGCCAUUAAAACAUACCUAAACGCGAUACAACUACCCGCAUUCACGCCCCAACAACAACAAGAACUUGCAGCAGACAUAACGCACGAGGAAGUCACCGCGGCCAUCCGAG